UUUGUUUCCCCAAUAUGCAAAGAAAGACAAGUACUCACUGGGGCUACCUCAAUAAGCGCUGCUUUGAGGCAGAAGAACAGUUACCAGUUUUCAGAAACAUCUCUUAAUAAACAUCUGGUUGCUCAGAUCAUAUAGAGGCCUUACUUUGGUGGAUGGCCAUCUACAACAUCACUGCCUGAAAUGAAACACAGAUGUUAACUGUUUAAUUGGACUGGCCUAUUCAUGGGAUUGAAAAGAUUGGUUCAGCUGCUUAUAAGAUGGUCCACCAACUCAAUUUCUGGACUGUAAAUUUCUUGGAGAAGUUUCAGAUUGGAUAAUCUUGGGACUCAGAAAGUAAUACCCCAAAAUGAAGGCCUCAGAAUCAGCCUCAAAGAAAAAUUUUUUCCCUGACCUUCCCCUGCCCUCCUAUCUCUAAGUCCCAUUCUCCCCCAAAGCUAGACAUGGAAAUUAGAAUCCUUCUUCCCCAAGGUGGGUUACAGAAAACAGAAUCCCUUUUCCCCAAAGCCAGCCAGAAAACCUAAAAAUAUUUUUCUAACUUUCCCUCUACCUUGCUGUGUAAAAACUGGUCAUAAAAAUUUAUCUCAGGCCGGGCGCGGUGGCUCACGCCUGUAAUCCCAGCACUUUGGGAGGCCGAGGUGGGCGGAUCACAAGGUCAGGAGAUCGAGACCACGGUGAAACCCCAUCUCUACUAAAAAUACAAAAAAUUAGCCGGGUGCAGUGGCGGGCGCCUGUAGUCCCAGCUACUCGGGAGGCUGAGGCAGGAGAAUGGCGUGAACCCGGGAGGCGGAGCUUGCAGUGAGCCGAGAUUGCACCACUGCACUCCAGCCUGGGCGACAGAGCGAGACUCCGUCUCAAAAAAAAAAAAAAAAAAAAAAAAAAAAAAAAUUUAUCUCACCUACCUUGUUUGACUGUAGGUCAUAAGACCCUCCCACUCAAGAGAGGUUCAGAUCUACACUCAGAGGAAAAAGUGCGUGUUCAGAGAGGCCAAGAACAAUCUGGACAGACAGGCCUUGCUGGGUUUCCCCACUCAGCAUAUUAGCAUUAGAUCAUACACAUUUUGUUCAAUUAUAUUUCUACAUGGAUGUCCGUAUUUUGUUGAACCUAAGCAUAAAAAUGGACAAUUUUCCCUGUAUGUUUGGGUCUUCAUUCUGAAGACUUCUAUGUAUAUACAUUAAAUGAAUUUGAAUGCCUUUUCUCCAAUUAA